rnacentral:rRNA from 1 species
ACGGGUGAGUAAUGCUUGGGAAUCUAGCUUAUGGAGGGGGAUAACUACGGGAAACUGUAGCUAAUACCGCGUAAUAUCGAAAGAUUAAAGUGUGGGACCUUCGGGCCACAUGCCAUAGGAUGAGCCCAAGUGGGAUUAGGUAGUUGGUGAGGUAAAGGCUCACCAAGCCGACGAUCUCUAGCUGGUCUGAGAGGAUGACCAGCCACACUGGGACUGAGACACGGCCCAGACUCCUACGGGAGGCAGCAGUGGGGAAUAUUGCGCAAUGGGGGCAACCCUGACGCAGCCAUGCCGCGUGAAUGAAGAAGGCCUUCGGGUUGUAAAGUUCUUUCGGUAGCGAGGAAGGCACUUAGUUUAAUAAACUAAGUGAUUGACGUUAACUACAGAAGAAGCACCGGCUAACUCCGUGCCAGCAGCCGCGGUAAUGCGGAGGGUGCGAGCGUUAAUCGGAAUAACUGGGCGUAAAGGGCACGCAGGCGGUGACUUAAGUGAGGUGUGAAAGCCCCGGGCUUAACCUGGGAAUUGCAUUUCAUACUGGGUCGCUAGAGUACUUUAGGGAGGGGUAGAAUUCCACGUGU